ACGCUGGCGGCAGGCCUAACACAUGCAAGUCGAGCGGUAGAGAGAAGCUUGCUUCUCUUGAGAGCGGCGGACGGGUGAGUAAUGCCUAGGAAUCUGCCUGGUAGUGGGGGAUAACGUUCGGAAACGGACGCUAAUACCGCAUACGUCCUACGGGAGAAAGCAGGGGACCUUCGGGCCUUGCGCUAUCAGAUGAGCCUAGGUCGGAUUAGCUAGUUGGUGGGGUAAUGGCUCACCAAGGCGACGAUCCGUAACUGGUCUGAGAGGAUGAUCAGUCACACUGGAACUGAGACACGGUCCAGACUCCUACGGGAGGCAGCAGUGGGGAAUAUUGGACAAUGGGCGAAAGCCUGAUCCAGCCAUGCCGCGUGUGUGAAGAAGGUCUUCGGAUUGUAAAGCACUUUAAGUUGGGAGGAAGGGCAGUAAAUUAAUACUUUGCUGUUUUGACGUUACCGACAGAAUAAGCACCGGCUAACUCUGUGCCAGCAGCCGCGGUAAUACAGAGGGUGCAAGCGUUAAUCGGAAUUACUGGGCGUAAAGCGCGCGUAGGUGGUUCGUUAAGUUGGAUGUGAAAUCCCCGGGCUCAACCUGGGAACUGCAUUCAAAACUGACGAGCUAGAGUAUGGUAGAGGGUGGUGGAAUUUCCUGUGUAGCGGUGAAAUGCGUAGAUAUAGGAAGGAACACCAGUGGCGAGGGCGACCACCUGGACUGAUACUGACACUGAGGUGCGAAAGCGUGGGGAGCAAAC
rnacentral:rRNA from 1 species